rnacentral:rRNA from 1 species
UGGGGAAUAUUGCACAAUGGGCGCAAGCCUGAUGCAGCCAUGCCGCGUGUGUGAAGAAGGCCUUCGGGUUGUAAAGCACUUUCAGCGGGGAGGAAGGCGGUGAGGUUAAUAACCUCAUCGAUUGACGUUACCCGCAGAAGAAGCACCGGCUAACUCCGUGCCAGCAGUCGCGGUAAAACGGAGGGUGCAAGCGUUAAUCGGAAUUACUGGGCGUAAAGCGGACGCAGGCGGUCUGUCAAGUCGGAUGUGAAAUCCCCGGGCUCAACCUAGGAACUGCAUUCGAAACUGGCGGGCUAGAGUCAUGUAGAGGGGGGUAGAAUUCCAGGUGUGGCGGUGAAAUGCGUAGAGAUCUGGAGGAAUACCGGUGGCGAAGGCAGCCCCCUGGACGAAGACUGACGCUCAGGUGCGAAAGCGUGGGGAGCAAACAGG